AUUGAACGCUGGCGGCAUACCUUACACAUGCAAGUCGAACGGCAGCAUGGAGAGCUUGCUCUCUGAUGGCGAGUGGCGAACGGGUGAGUAAAGCAUCGGAACGUACCGUGUAGUGGGGGAUAACGUAGCGAAAGUUACGCUAAUACCGCAUACGCACUGAGGUGGAAAGCAGGGGAUCGUAAGACCUUGCGCUAUACGAGCGGCCGAUGUCAGAUUGGCUAGUUGGUAGGGUAAAGGCCUACCAAGGCGACGAUCUGUAGCGGGUCUGAGAGGAUGAUCCGCCACACUGGGACUGAGACACGGCCCAGACUCCUACGGGAGGCAGCAGUGGGGAAGUUUGGACAAUGGGGGCAACCCUGAUCCAGCCAUGCCGCGUGUGUGAAGAAGGCCUUCGGGUUGUAAAGCUCUUUCGGCCGGGAAGAAAUCGCACAGGCUAAUACCCUGUGUGGAUGACGGUACCGGCAUAAGAAGCACCGGCUAACUACGUGCCAGCAGCCGCAGUAA
rnacentral:rRNA from 1 species